rnacentral:sRNA from 1 species
ACCUUAUUCAUUUUCUCAGAUGAAUGACCUCACAAACCUAAAUCUUGCACAUAAUAAGCUCCAAAACCAGCUGGGAGAUAUAUUUGAAAAGCUCGGUAAACUCAAACAACUGGAUGUAUCAUUUAAUUCUCUAUCAGGAGACCUGCCGCAGAGUCUCAAAUCGCUCAAAAGCCUCAAGAAGUUGCACCUUCAAAACAACAAAUUCACUGGUUCAGUAAAUGUUCUUGCCAAACUUCCACUUGAUGAUUUGAAUAUCGAAAACAACAAAUUUACUGGUUGGGUUCCUAACGAGUUGAAGAAUAUAAAUAAAUUGCGAACUGGAGGAAACUCAUGGUCAAAGGGACAAGCACCUCCUCCUCCUCCUGGUACUCCCCCCAUCGACCAAUCCAUGAAAAAGAAAGAUAAAUCCG